GAAAGCAACAUUUUCACGACGUCAUGAUGACGUCGCAACAGCGGGAAAUUGCCAACCGGAAAUUGCUGAUUCCAGUAGGAAGUUGAGUGAGAGAGAGUUCUCGAUCUGACUAUGCCGAAAGCUAAAGAUAAAAAUCGAAGGAGCGAAAAUGUGUUACGAUACCUGGCCUGUUGUGGAAACGAGGAAAAUAUAUCUUCGUUUCUUAGUGCAAACGUGGCUGCUGGUUCUAGACUCGCCGCCGAGAACGAGAGCGAAGUACACAUGAGGGCAACAGCGCGCAGUUACGAACUGCGCCUGAUAAGCCUCGAGGACUUCGCAAAAAAUGAAGGCGACCGUGGUGUUCUUUUCGGGCCCGAUAAGAGGCCCUUCCUCGCGGCCACUAUAAGCACCUUCAUGCCUGCAUUUAACAGUAUUUCCAAAGCUUGAAGGAUGACAUAAAUAGAAAGUAUGAUGGGACACUGCAUGCUUGUAGGAAAUCAUGCAGACAGUACCAGAUGGUCAUCAUAGUGAGUAUUUGAAAUUGAAUAUUGUUGGUGUAGUUAAACCCUCUGAAUUUGCUCACCUUUAACACAAUAGCAUUUUAGUUUUUAUGAAAACUUUUAUUCUUAAAAUUUCCACAAAGGUUUUGAUAGGUUGGUAUACGUUAUUGCUAUUAUACUUGCUUGAAUGGCUCUUUUAAAGGAUUGUAUUAAAAUUUAAAAUGCUGCAUUUGCUGGAAAAAGUAGACUUGUGUGUUUGUGAACAAAUCAAAUGACUUUUUGUUUGGUGAACUUGCACUCUCUCCAGCCUUUGCUGGCAAAAUAACAGCACAACAAGUAACUAAUUCAGCAUUUACAAACUAUGCAGAAAAUUAGAGAUUGUCAGUAAGGGCUUAUCCCCUUGUGUGAGGGUGCCACACAAAAAGUCAUUGGAUCACCUUAGUGCAAGUUCACUUGGGGAGUGCACUAAUGAAAAAACAAUAUAGAUUCCAAAAAGGAUGACAAAAUAAAAUAAUAGUUUCUGAAGCCAUAGUCACUCCUCUUUCCUGGUCAAGAAAACAUGAAACUGUGCAAAGCUUUUCCUGCAUUUAUGGCUAUGAAGAAGGGAAUAAAAAAUUGAGCUCGACAAGUAUAGGCUUUAUAAAACAGUACAGAUACUUAUCAAACAACUAAAUGCUGUGGAUACUAUUAACUGGCCAGAGGAGAAGGAGAGGUUUGCCGAUGUUCUGAAAGAUGUACACAACAUUUCAUCGGAGAAGAGCGAGGAAGAGGGAGAUGGGGUUGCCUUCUUCGUUAAAUCAUUGAAGUGGGCGAGAAAUGAGCUUAGAAUUUUGAAGGAGUUAGAGAGCCAUCACUGAGAAUGUAACUUAGUCGCAGGGCUUUGCUUCUUGUUAAUUUUCGGCUAGAGCUUUUCAGCCUUUUAAAAUAAUUUUAAAUAAGUUUCAUGAUGUUUUUGUCUCUAUUCUACAUUUCUAUAUACAUAAAAACAUUCAUUAUUUCCUACUUUCAUAAAUAUGCUUUAGAGUCAAGCUGACUGUUUGAUUUUUGUUCUACAUUAGUUUUUAUAGUUAGCAUUAUAUCACAUAAAAGAUAGCUUUUUAGAUGUAAGUUAUAAGAUUUGUAUAUCAAAUCAGAUUUCAUGCCAUUAUGCACAUGUAAAAGACGACUGAGGAUUAAAAUAAAAAUAUAAUGAAAGCUU